rnacentral:lncRNA from 1 species
CCCGGCGAAAUUCCUCGGACAAGAAACGUAAGCCUUGAUCCGAGAGGUUGACCCGGUCCAGCCCAGCCCCGGAUAACGGCUGCUGUAGAAUCCGAAUGAAACUUGGUCGCUGACGCCAUCCACCUCCUCCUCUUCCACCACUCCGGCCUUCACCAACAGAUAAAUCCCGACGAGCCUCUCCUCGGCAUCCUUGAUCGAGUGGCUUCUUGUACGUCACGUCAGCACGGCUGUCAACGACUCCGGCGAGCUUGGCCUUAGCUGAGUCAACGGAAUCGUGAUUGGGUUGGUCGCCGAUUGCGGUGAGGACGGAUUGGAUAUGAGCCACGUCUGUCAUGGCAUACGACGGAUCGGGUCUGAGCCACGUCCGCCAUGGCGUACACUCGUCAGAUUUUGGGGGUCAAUUCAGACG